rnacentral:rRNA from 1 species
UACGUAGGACGCAAGCGUUAUCCGGAUUUAUUGGGUUUAAAGGGUGCGUAGGCGGAAGAAUAAGUCAGUGGUGAAAGACUGUCGCUCAACGAUAGCAUUGCCAUUGAUACUGUUUUUCUUGAGUGUAGUUGAGGUAGGCGGAAUGUGUAGUGUAGCGGUGAAAUGCUUAGAUAUUACACAGAACACCGAUUGCGGAGGCAGCUUACUAAGCUAUAACUGACGCUGAGGCACGAAAGCGUGGGGAU